rnacentral:rRNA from 1 species
GCGCGCAAGCCAAUGGGUAAAUGGUGCGGUACGCCGCCCAUGACUGGAAACCCACAGGCACAGACAAAUCGAGUGUUGCGGGAUUACGGGUACGGCCGAUGGCGCAAGCCUUCGUCGGACCCCUCCAUCCCAGGGUGUCCCGUUCGGGUGCUUGCACCCAGCGGACAUCCCCGGAGUGCGUAGGAUGUGACCCGAAAGAUGGUGAACUAUGCCUGAUCAGGUUGAAGUCAGGGGAAACCCUGAUGGAGGACCGAAGCAAUUCUGACGUGCAAAUCGAUUGUCAGAGUUGGGCAUAGGGGCGAAAGACCAAUCGAACCAU